rnacentral:lncRNA from 1 species
CUUUGGUUCAUCAUGGAAAUAAAAGUAAUUCUAUAGUUGUCACUCAGCUAUUUACGUUUUUCUUGAUACUAUCAUCAAAUUGCAAACAACAACAUAUAUAUAAAAAAAUACAAUGUAUAGACAAAUGUGCACCACAAUCUAGACAAGAUAAAGAGAAAAAUCAGUUCCUACUGCAACUUUAUGAACAGUAUUGUACAGGGGGUAUACCCAAAGCCCAUUA